GUAAGACACUGGCCUCUGCAAAGUUAGAGA
rnacentral:piRNA from 1 species